rnacentral:rRNA from 2 species
AUCCUCCAAGGCUAAAUACUCCUGACUGACCGAUAGUGAACCAGUACCGUGAGGGAAAGGCGAAAAGAACCCCGGCGAGGGGAGUGAAAAAGAACCUGAAACCGUGUACGUACAAGCAGUGGGAGCACGCUUAGGCGUGUGACUGCGUACCUUUUGUAUAAUGGGUCAGCGACUUAUAUUCUGUAGCAAGGUUAACCGAAUAGGGGAGCCGAAGGGAAACCGAGUCUUAACUGGGCGUUAAGUUGCAGGGUAUAGACCCGAAACCCGGUGAUCUAGCCAUGGGCAGGUUGAAGGUUGGGUAACACUAACUGGAGGACCGAACCGACUAAUGUUGAAAAAUUAGCGGAUGACUUGUGGCUGGGGGUGAAAGGCCAAUCAAACCGGGAGAUAGCUGGUUCUCCCCGAAAGCUAUUUAGGUAGCGCCUCGUGAACUCAUCUCCGGGGGUAGAGCACUGUUUCGGCAAGGGGGUCAUCCCGACUUACCAACCCGAUGCAAACUGCGAAUACCGGAGAAUGUUAUCACGGGAGACACACGGCGGGUGCUAACGUCCGUCGUGAAGAGGGAAACAACCCAGACCGCCAGCUAAGGUCCCAAAGUCAUGGUUAAGUGGGAAACGAUGUGGGAAGGCCCAGACAGCCAGGAUGUUGGCUUAGAAGCAGCCAUCAUUUAAAGAAAGCGUAAUAGCUCACUGGUCGAGUCGGCCUGCGCGGAAGAUGUAACGGGGCUAAACCAUGCACCGAAGCUGCGGCAGCGACGCUUAUGCGUUGUUGGGUAGGGGAGCGUUCUGUAAGCCUGUGAAGGUGUGCUGUGAGGCAUGCUGGAGGUAUCAGAAGUGCGAAUGCUGACAUAAGUAACGAUAAAGCGGGUGAAAAGCCCGCUCGCCGGAAGACCAAGGGUUCCUGUCCAACGUUAAUCGGGGCAGGGUGAGUCGACCCCUAAGGCGAGGCCGAAAGGCGUAGUCGAUGGGAAACAGGUUAAUAUUCCUGUACUUGGUGUUACUGCGAAGGGGGGACGGAGAAGGCUAUGUUGGCCGGGCGACGGUUGUCCCGGUUUAAGCGUGUAGGCUGGUUUUCCAGGCAAAUCCGGAAAAUCAAGGCUGAGGCGUGAUGACGAGGCACUACGGUGCUGAAGCAACAAAUGCCCUGCUUCCAGGAAAAGCCUCUAAGCAUCAGGUAACAUCAAAUCGUACCCCAAACCGACACAGGUGGUCAGGUAGAGAAUACCAAGGCGCUUGAGAGAACUCGGGUGAAGGAACUAGGCAAAAUGGUGCCGUAACUUCGGGAGAAGGCACGCUGAUAUGUAGGUGAAGUCCCUCGCGGAUGGAGCUGAAAUCAGUCGAAGAUACCAGCUGGCUGCAACUGUUUAUUAAAAACACAGCACUGUGCAAACACGAAAGUGGACGUAUACGGUGUGACGCCUGCCCGGUGCCGGAAGGUUAAUUGAUGGGGUCAGCGCAAGCGAAGCUCUUGAUCGAAGCCCCGGUAAACGGCGGCCGUAACUAUAACGGUCCUAAGGUAGCGAAAUUCCUUGUCGGGUAAGUUCCGACCUGCACGAAUGGCGUAAUGAUGGCCAGGCUGUCUCCACCCGAGACUCAGUGAAAUUGAACUCGCUGUGAAGAUGCAGUGUACCCGCGGCAAGACGGAAAGACCCCGUGAACCUUUACUAUAGCUUGACACUGAACAUUGAGCCUUGAUGUGUAGGAUAGGUGGGAGGCUUAGAAGUGUGGACGCCAGUCUGCAUGGAGCCGACCUUGAAAUACCACCCUUUAAUGUUUGAUGUUCUAACGUUGACCCGUAAUCCGGGUUGCGGACAGUGUCUGGUGGGUAGUUUGACUGGGGCGGUCUCCUCCUAAAGAGUAACGGAGGAGCACGAAGGUUGGCUAAUCCUGGUCGGACAUCAGGAGGUUAGUGCAAUGGCAUAAGCCAGCUUGACUGCGAGCGUGACGGCGCGAGCAGGUGCGAAAGCAGGUCAUAGUGAUCCGGUGGUUCUGAAUGGAAGGGCCAUCGCUCAACGGAUAAAAGGUACUCCGGGGAUAACAGGCUGAUACCGCCCAAGAGUUCAUAUCGACGGCGGUGUUUGGCACCUCGAUGUCGGCUCAUCACAUCCUGGGGCUGAAGUAGGUCCCAAGGGUAUGGCUGUUCGCCAUUUAAAGUGGUACGCGAGCUGGGUUUAGAACGUCGUGAGACAGUUCGGUCCCUAUCUGCCGUGGGCGCUGGAGAACUGAGGGGGGCUGCUCCUAGUACGAGAGGACCGGAGUGGACGCAUCACUGGUGUUCGGGUUGUCAUGCCAAUGGCACUGCCCGGUAGCUAAAUGCGGAAGAGAUAAGUGCUGAAAGCAUCUAAGCACGAAACUUGCCCCGAGAUGAGUUCUCCCUGACCCUUUAAGGGUCCUGAAGGAACGUUGAAGACGACGACGUUGAUAGGCCGGGUGUGUAAGCGCAGCGAUGCGUUGAGCUAACCGGUACUAAUGAACCGUGAGGCUUAACCUU